UUCUCCUUCUCUGCAAGCGCCAGUGCAGCUUCCUCCGCCAAUCGUGCCUCUUCUAAUCUCUUUUGCUCUUCCAUUUUCCAUCGUUCCAGCUCCAAUGCCUGCAAAUGCCUUAUAAACUCGCUGUGCUAUACAUUUCCAUUGUCUGCUUGAGCUCGAGCUUUAGCCUUCUCAUUUCGGCUUCCACAUCUUCCUACAGUAUAAAAUGAAGAAGGAAGUGAGACAGGAUAUAUAUGGGCCAAAUCAAUGGGUACCAAUGAACUGAUAAAUCAUCAGUACUUAGUAACCUGGGAAAAUGCAUGGUUUCUUUCACUGACAAAUGAAUCUAGUGACAAGUAUUCUAUUGAUCUUCGUCCAGUGGGGUUUAACCCCUCGAGAUUAUUGUCUUCCACUUCUGAGAAACCUGAAAGCCGGGGAGGGGUGGGUCCAUCGUCCAAGCUGUCUGUAUACGGGAGAAAGCUAUCAACACUCGACCUUCCAUUACUCACAAAAGAUAUGUCAAGAUUAUCGUGUUUGGAUAUUUCAUAUGGCCUUCCACUCGCGGCUCUCCUGUGAACGAUUUGAGACCUGUUGCACUAGUAACAACCGAUGCAUCAGAGGAUCCCAAAGAGUGACUUUUUGGAUUGUGCACCCGGGGCGGUGGCACCUCAGCUACACUCGGUUUGCUGCUGUUUAUCUGCAGUGCCAUCUGGUGACGGAGUGGAUGGAUGAAUGGAGGCAGACGAGAGGCAGAUCGCGUGGAGGAUAUCUUCCCGGUUUUGGAGAUGAUAUACACAGUACAGAAAUCCGGGGCUCCUUUCAACACUGUUCCAGGAAUGUCUCUUGAUUUAAAUCUUUUUACAUGCAAAAAAAGCAACCAAGGGAUACUGAAAUCAGAGCUUUUGAACUUAACUUAAUCCCCGCAAUCCAAUAAGAAUUCUACUCUGAAUCAGCAAAUUCAACAUUUUCACUACUCAAAUAGUCUCAAAUAUGCUGCAAGGCUCACCUAAGAAGGCCUCCUUUCGUUGCAGCGCCCAGAAUGACAACCUCAAUCGCUGUUCGAUUUACAUAUUCAACAAUUGCUUUGGAAGGAUCAGAAUGCUCCAGUGAGACUUCAUAGCAUUGUACCUGUAAACAAAACCAUCAUAUAUAAGUUCUAUAAACCAAAUGGCAGGCAACAAAGUAGUGUAUACUGAAUUGAAGCUGCUACUGGUGGUACUAACAUCUUUUCGCAUGCAAAAAACACGAAAUGGAAGAAA